ACUCCUACGGGAGGCAGCAGUGGGGAAUUUUGGACAAUGGGGGAAAGCCUGAUCCAGCAACGCCGCGUGAAGGAUGAAGUGCCUUAGGGUUGUAAAGCUCUUCGCUCCGGGACGAUAAUGACAGU
rnacentral:rRNA from 1 species